rnacentral:rRNA from 1 species
AGUGAACGCUGGCGGUAGGCCUAACACAUGCAAGUCGAACGGCAGCACAGUAAGAGCUUGCUCUUACGGGUGGCGAGUGGCGGACGGGUGAGGAAUACAUCGGAAUCUACUUUUUCGUGGGGGAUAACGUAGGGAAACUUACGCUAAUACCGCAUACGACCUACGGGUGAAAGCAGGGGAUCUUCGGACCUUGCGCGAUUGAAUGAGCCGAUGUCGGAUUAGCUAGUUGGCGGGGUAAAGGCCCACCAAGGCGACGAUCCGUAGCUGGUCUGAGAGGAUGAUCAGCCACACUAGAACUGAGACGCGGUCCAGACUCCUACGGGAGGCAGCAGUGGGGAAUAUUGGACAAAGGGCGCAAGCCUGAUCCAGCCAUACCGCGUGGGUGAAGAAGUCCUUCGGGUUGUAAAGCCCUUUUGUUGGGAAAGAAAAGCAGCAGGUUAAUACCCCGCUGUUCUGACGGUACCCAAAGAAUAAGCACCGGCUAACUUCGUG